GGGAGUAUAGCUCAGUUGGUAAAGUGUUUGCCUUGUAUGUACAAAGCCCUGAGUUCAAUCCUCGGCACACACA
rnacentral:tRNA from 1 species